GAUCCGGAGGCGGGAAUAGAGGAUGUAGAGGAGGAGGAACGGCGAUAUGAACUGAGACCCCGAGAGAAGUAAAUGCUCCGGUCACUACUGCGCAACAAGGAGAAACAAUGAUACUGUAGUCCAGGAUGGACAAUGUGAUUUUUAUUCUUCGUAGUAAAAGUAAAUACAG